CACAGGUCUGUUUGCUUUGACAUUACAACAGAGAAGUGUUUCACUCCCUCUCUUUCUGCUGAAAUCACACAUUUGUUUUUCCUUAUUCUAGCUUCUGUACCAGUCUGAUCAUUUGGUGAUGAGUUUUGUGACAGUCCAGUCUGUGAACAUCAUGACAGACAUCAUGUUACUGAGUCUCCUCUUUAUUCCAAACACUUUGGCUGCUUGUCCUCCAAACACACGCCUGUUCAUCACUGCACCAACAGAGAUGGAAGCUCUGAGUGGAUCUUGUUUACAAAUCCCAUGUAACUUUAGUGCUGCUGGCCCAGAAAAGUUUGACAGCACAAGACCCGUCUUUGCAGUGUGGAUUAGAAACGAUAACAACUUUAAUCCUGAUCCAGAAAAUGUGAUCUUCAACAG